CACUACGAAAGAAAAAAGGCGUCGAUUGUGUAGUAAAAUGUUUUGCUCGUGAGUUAUUGAUCCGGAAAAGUUGAAUCUGUGAAUAUCUUGCCAACUUUGCUGGACUAACUUCAAAGCGUAGACUGAAACUGAAACUACGAUCAACUUUGUACAUCGUUUAUCUCACCGCACAAGUCCUCUGAUAAAGGCUACGUUAGUUGUCACAAGGUGUCAGUGCAAACUUGAGUUUAAUUACACAAACUUGUAUGCUUUCUCAGGUUUUAAACAUGCCGUGUUUAAAGAGGAAAGACACAUCCCCCCUAUGUGUUUGUUUUAACAUAUUGCACAUGUAACGAAAAUGAGAAUCGGAUCAUAGAGUUAGAGUUCAUAUAAACAGAUUGUAUUCCCAUUUAGACAGUAGCUAUUUACUCCAAAUAAGCUCGCGUUCUUUAGCUAAACGGCCCUAAACCGUUUCCCAUUCAUUCUCAAUGGUAGUGCUGCUAAACCACUACGGAUGCAAUAUACUUUCGGCCGCUAGCGCUCUCGUGGCGCUCUUCCGCGUUUCGGCCCCGAAGGGAAGUUUGAAUUCGCAGAAGAAGAAAACAGCCUCGGUUGUUUAAUUCAACGCAUUCUCAGCGCAUCUGUCAAAGAGACCACUGUUUCUACACUGCUGUCAUCUUCUCCUGGUACCAUGCAGAUCCUCAGUCAGAUGCAGGAAGUACAUAUACGCCACCUCUGCCUCUGCUGGCCUCACCUGAGACCCCCUGGACCUGUGAAGACUGGUGGCAGGGUGUUGAGCACAAACAUAGCCCAUUGACAACUUGCUUAAUAAACACCGUGGGAAGAAGCACAUCCUCAGGAGCAUGCAGCAGUGCUCCACAAUUCCUCUACUGAUCCAGACAGCAUGCUCCAUUCGACCACAAAACUGCACAUUUCACAGUAUGUCAAGCACCUGGUCAAACUACUGAACAUCAGUUCUUUAUUAAACAACUCCAGAGAAACGUCUUGAAAGCGGGUAGUGAAUCAACCAGUGUGCCAGUGGUAACAAUGAAGCCUGCGGAUGCAAACCCACCAGCACCUGCUCUGACCACACUCCUAACUCAUGAGACCAUUGAGACAAUUGUGUUAUGGAGCGGCAGCAGCAACCUGAGGAGAAGACUUGUCUUGCUUGUGGACAGCCAAAGAUGGUUCCUCUAUCCACUUUUUUCUUAAUCAGCAAGGCCCUGUCAGGUACUUCUACUGUUCCACAAAGGUUUUUAAUGCUUACAGUGAUUAAGAACUAACACACCCCAGAGUUAUUUAAGAGAGAACUUGAGGACACAAAGAAACGGGUGCAGGAGAAAGGACAGCAAAAACACAAAAGGCCUGAAACUGAACACGUUAGUCGCUUGUGCAGAUUUUGUAAAAUGGAGCUGAAGCAGGGUCCAAACAGUCCUCACAUACACACAGGCUUUCCUGGCGUAGCAGGGAAAUAUGUUAAUUGCCCUGCUGAAGUCUUUUCCAUUUACCAACCUCAGGACAUGCAGAAAGAUGACCUGGAAAGAGUUUAAAGUGUCUGCAUUUUACGAGAUGGAAAGACAGAGAUGUGUGGCAGAAAAAAAAAUAAAUAAAUGACAUUUCUUGAUCUUUUGCCCCAUAACUCAUGUAUAUACUGUAUAUUUUGAUUUGUUUAUUGUUCAGUGUGAGACUGUAAUAUGUAUAUUUUGUCAGAAUUCUAUUUUUCUUUAUACUUUAUUAUUUUGGAUCAGUAUUUACUAAUCUUAAAAAGUGCUUAAAGCAUUUAA